GCGUUCAUAGCUCAGCUGGAUAGAGCAUCGGCCUUCUAAGCCGAGGGUCAGGGGUUCGAAUCCCUUUGGACGUACCA
rnacentral:tRNA from 1 species